rnacentral:rRNA from 1 species
CUCGUGUCGUGAGAUGUUGGUUAAGUCCCGCAACGAGCGCAACCCUACGUUUAGUUGCUAACAGGUGAAGCUGAGCACUCUAGACGAACUGCCGUUGACAAAACGGAGGAAGUGGGGAUGACGUCAAAUCAUCAUGCCCCUUAUGUUCUGGGCUACACACGUGCUACAAUGGCCGGUACAGACGGAGGCGAAGCCGCGAGGCGGAGCAAAUCCGAAAAAGCCGGUCUCAGUUCGGAUUGCAGGCUGCAAUUCGCCUGCAUGAAGUCGGAAUCGCUAGUAAUCGCAGGUCAGCAUACUGCGGUGAAUACGUUCCCGGGCCUU